rnacentral:rRNA from 1 species
AGCUCCAAUAGCGUAUAUUAAAGUUGUUGCAGUUAAAAAGCUCGUAGUUGGAUUUGGGACCGGGGCGGGGAGGUCGGCCGCGAGGUCUGUUACUUCCGCGCCUCGUCUUAAUUUCCGAAGACCCGUCGUGUACUUUGCUGUGCGCGGCGUCGGGACUCGGAACGUUUACUUUGAAAAAAUUAGAGUGUUCAAAGCAGGCUUCACUGAGCCAGAAUACAUGAGCAUGGAAUAAUGGAAUAGGACCGCGGUCUUAUUUUGUUGGUUUCUAAAACCGCAGUAAUGAUUAAGAGGGACAAUUGGGGGCGUCCGUAUUUCGUUGUCAGAGGUGAAAUUCUUGGAUUUACGAAAGACGAACAACUGCGAAAGCAUUCGCCAAGAGUGUUUUCAUUAAUCAAGAACG